AUGCCAGACAGCGGAAAUUGAAAUUGUAUUUGAUGACUUCGAAAUAACAAACGUGACCUACAAUCCAAAAUUCGAAAGUCUAGAAUUGUUCAGCGUGAUUGGUGGCUACAUGGGAAUGUAUCUUGGUGUGUCAAUAGUGGCAGUAUACGACUUCGCCGAAAUCCUAAUGACUGCCAUCUAUAAGUUUUUUAAGAAGCGAGAAGCCGCAAAGAAGAAGACGAAAAUUCAGCGGAAAAAAGACGUGAAACGGCAUAUGGAUGACUUUCGGUACUCAGCUGCAUUCCGACGGAGAUCUGUAGUACCAUACGCGUCAAGAGAUGUUUAUUAAAAAGACUGCACAUGUUGUUUAAUUAUCUUUUAAAUUCACUUACUGGUUUUAUGAAUGUAAUAGCACGUUCAGUUAAAAUUGUUUUCGCAUGAAAGUUAAUAAUUUUUUGCCUGGAAAUGAUUAGUUUCAAUGUUUACUUAAAGAUAUAAUUUUUGAAAUUA